UACAGAGGUCUCAAGCGUUGUUCGGAUUCAUUGGGCGUAAAGGGUGCGUAGGUGGUGAUGCAAGUCUGGUGUGAAAUCUCGGAGCUCAACUCCGAAAUUGCACCGGAUACUGCGUGACUCGAGGACUGUAGAGGAGAUCGGAAUUCACGGUGUAGCAGUGAAAUGCGUAGAUAUCGUGAGGAAGACCAGUUGCGAAGGCGAGUCCCUGGACAACACCUGACACUGAGGCACGAAAGCCGGGGGAGCAAACAGG
rnacentral:rRNA from 1 species